AGUGAACGCUGGCGGUAGGCCUAACACAUGCAAGUCGAACGGCAGCUCAGUAAGAGCUUGCUCUUACGGGUGGCGAGUGGCGGACGGGUGAGGAAUACAUCGGAAUCUACUUUUUCGUGGGGGAUAACGUAGGGAAACUUACGCUAAUACCGCAUACGACCUACGGGUGAAAGCAGGGGAUCUUCGGACCUUGCGCGAUUGAAUGAGCCGAUGUCGGAUUAGCUAGUUGGCGGGGUAAAGGCCCACCAAGGCGACGAUCCGUAGCUGGUCUGAGAGGAUGAUCAGCCACACCGGAACUGGGACACGGUCCAGACUCCUACGGGAGGCAGCAGUGGGGAAUAUUGGACAAUGGGCGCAAGCCUGAUCCAGCCAUACCGCGUGGGUGAAGAAGGCCUUCGGGUUGUAAAGCCCUUUUGUUGGGAAAGAAAAGCAGCAGGUUAAUACCCCGCUGUUCUGACGGUACCCAAAGAAUAAGCACCGGCUAACUUCGUG
rnacentral:rRNA from 1 species